ACUGCGCGUGUUGCCACUUGCCACUGAGCUUCGUGUCGACAUCUCAAGCUGCUCGACCCAUGUGUGGGCAUCUCGGUCAUUUCGCGAAGGCCGCGCAUCCUAUAAAUGAGACCCCUUCCUCCUCCCCUGCCGUUGUUGUUGGCUUCGUGGUCCGUGUUUAACGGGCGUAGAGAGAGAAAGAGAACAGAGCGAGAGAGGGGGAGGACGAAGCCCUCCGCGUCGUCUCCUGCUGUUCCAUCCCACAUCUAUUCUGCCUCGGCUUGCACCUUCGACCUCGCUGAAAGUUCUGACCUCAAACUGAAAGGGGCCUGUGAAGCGUUUCCUUGCGGCAGUGCAAUGGAGGUGAACAUCUCUGGUUCUAUUUUCAUCGUCGGGUAACAAGAAACUAAUCAGGGAGUCUCUUCCCAUUUCUUGCAGUGGAGGAAUGUUUAGCUACAGCCGCGCAGCAUGCUUUCCAGAGCAUAAAUUGGUGGAAGAGAAGUUUGAUGCUACCACUUUGCCAGAAGAACCGAGCCAGACACAAUAACAUCAAACUGAGUCUGAGAUACUGCACUUUACAAAUUCUUUCGAUAUUGGCAGAUUGAAGACCAACAAGAUUUGAAGAGCAGCAAGAUCAGCUUGCACCUGCAGUUUGAAGAAAUCCUUUCAAAGAAGACUGCUUGCGGCAAUCUUGCCUUCACUCCACAAGCAUGUGCUGUGUUAUGCGUACCAUGUAAUGAUUGUAGUACUUGACAACUGAUACCAAAGUAGUGGAUGCUUUUCUUUCGCAUGAAGUCAUGUUGAUUUUUGUACGUUCUAACAGCGUCUCCAUCAAUAUCCUAUUGAAUCUCCCAUACUUCUAUACCUAUA
rnacentral:lncRNA from 1 species